rnacentral:rRNA from 1 species
ACUACAUGAAGCUGGAAUCGCUAGUAAUCGCGGAUCAGAAUGCCGCGGUGAAUACGUUCCCGGGUCUUGUACACACCGCCCGUCACACCAUGGGAGUCGGAAAUGCCCGAAGUCUGUGACCCAACCUUAGGGAGGGAGCAGCCGAAGGCAGGUCGGAUGACUGGGGUGAAGUCGUAACAAGGUAUC